rnacentral:tRNA from 2 species
AGGAGUUUAGGUUAACUUAGACCAGAAGCCUUCAAAGCUUCCAGUAAAUACAAUUUAUUUAACUCCUG